CUCCGGUUGAUCCCGCCGGACCCGACUGCUAUCAGAGUGGGACUAAGCCAUGCGAGUCAACGCCGCAAGGCGUGGCAUACGGCUCAGUAACACGUAGUCAACAUGCCCAGGGGACGUGGAUAACCUCGGGAAACUGAGGAUAAACCGCGAUAGGCCAAGGUUUCUGGAAUGGACACUGGCUGAAACCUAUAUGGCCCCUGGAUUGGACUGCGGCCGAUCAGGCUGUUGGUGAGGUAAUGGCCCACCAAACCUGUAACCGGUACGGGCUCUGAGAGGAGGAGCCCGGAGAUGGGCACUGAGACAAGGGCCCAGGCCCUAUGGGGCGCAGCAGGCGCGAAACCUCUGCAAUAGGCGAAAGCUUGACAGGGUUACUCUGAGUGAUUUCCGUUAAGGAGAUCUUUUGGCACCUCUAAAAAUGGUGCAGAAUAAGGGGUGGGCAAGUCUGGUGUCAGCCGCCGCGGUAAUACCAGCACCCCGAGUGGUCGGGACGUUUAUUGGGCCUAAAGCAUCCGUAGCCGGUUCUACAAGUCUUCCGUUAAAUCCACCUGCUUAACAGAUGGGCUGCGGAAGAUACUAUAGAGCUAGGAGGCGGGAGAGGCAAGCGGUACUCGAUGGGUAGGGGUAAAAUCCGUUGAUCCAUUGAAGACCACCAGUGGCGAAGGCGGCUUGCCAGAACGCGCUCGACGGUGAGGGAUGAAAGCUGGGGGAGCAAACCGGAUUAGAUACCCGGGUAGUCCCAGCUGUAAACGAUGCAGACUCGGUGAUGAGUUGGCUUAUUGCUAACUCAGUGCCGCAGGGAAGCCGUUAAGUUUGCCGCCUGGGGAGUACGGUCGCAAGACUGAAACUUAAAGGAAUUGGCGGGGGAGCA
rnacentral:rRNA from 1 species